CAUUACCCUAAUUUCUCAUUUUCCUUUUCACACUGUCAUCAUUUCAUCAAGCACAAUGUUUACUCUUUUGAUCCAAAAGAUACAAAGAGCCUCUUUUGUUGUUUUAUCGAUUACUAAACCCUCCCUCAACUUUGACUAAUCAUGAAAGUGGUAGCUUUGUGUUAAUAGGCUGUAUGCAGUUUUUGAGGGAAGAUCUUUCAAGGAAACUGUAGAAGGAGCAUGAUGGAAAAUUGUAUUAUUUUUCAAAGCUUGAAGGUGAGCAAUCCUAUAGUUCUCGGCUGGCUUAUUUUGAGCUGAAAGAUAUAUACUUCAACCUGUGAAAAGCAACUCCUUUCACUAGAAUUUUGAGAUUUUCAAAGUUAUGGUGCACUGUCACUCAACCUAAUGGGAUAAUAAAGGCAGAUGCUAUUGAACUGGUGUCGUGGCCGAAAACAGAGGUAUAGAAGUAACGCGUGACUCCUAGUCUCUCCAAGCAUUCAAAAGAAGAGAGAGAGGUACUUAACCUCUUAAAAUGGUGGGCAAGGAGCCUGCAGUACUAAGCAAGCAAAACAUCCUCUCUCUCUUUUUUUUACUUAAUCUUGUGACAGUGACUAGUCCGUGAGAGAAAGGUAAACUAAAUGGAUCAGAACAUGAUGCAUUAUAAGUUCACUAUACUACAAAUUUUUAAUUUAUUUUAUAUCUCAUAAUUGUUAAUAUUAUUAAUUAUUGGUGUUAUAUGUUCUCAUCCUUAACUGAUAAUUGCUUGGAUGCAAUACUAAGUUCAUUUGAAUUGGAUAUUUUAUGCCAUCAACUUUGCUUUUGGUCUUGGUCAAUGAGUCUGUGUGAUGAAAGAUUGAACUCUCUGAUUGCUAGGGAAUGGAAUUUAAAUGAAAAAACUUUAAAGAUAUUAUUAAGAAGGUCUAUUCAUGCUAGUAUAUAAAUUUGUAUCCAGAUAUGUCUUUUUUUAUUUGGUAAUCUUAUCCAGAUAUGUCUUUACUUCUAGUGUUAAUGGUUCUUCCGGAGUUAUUAAAACUAUGUUUGCGAAAAGUGUGUUUUUCAGAAAGAAGAUUACAAAGCAAUGGACAAAUCUUGGAUAACAAUGCCACAAAAUACAUCUAUGUAUGUGGAGGGAGUUCGGGGAUUUAUUAACUUUGCAUUCCAAAAUUGUGGUGUUGAAGGUGAAAUAAUAUGCCCUUGUCCGGUAUGUGGAUUUAGAAAGUGGCAGCCAAGAGAUGUUGUCUAUGAUCAUUUAAUUUGCAAACAAUUCCCCAGAGGAUACACUUUUUGGUUCUACCAUGGCGAGUCAAGGAUGGAGGAAAAUAGUAAUAUCAAUGCCACACAUUUUCCAGAUGUGGAACAAAACAACUUGGUUGAUGAAGAUCCAAUACAAAACAUGAUAAAUGAUGCAUUUGGAGUUGAUAUCUUGCAUGAGAAUGAGCAUAACUUUGACACAAAUGAAGACAUUGCACAAGAUGGUGGAACCACAUCAAAUGAAGAUAAAUAUUUCUUUGAACUAGCAAAAGAUGGAGAACAACCUCUGUAUGAAGGAUGUAAGAAAUAUUCAAAGCUUUCUUUUAUGUUGAAGUUAUAUCACAUCAAAUGCUAUUGUGGGAUGACUGACAAGGCUGUUACAAUGAUGUUGGAGCUACUACAAGAUGCAUUUGAAAAUACCAAUUUGCCAACUUCAUUCUAUGAGGCAAAGAAAACUAUUUCAAAGUUGGGUUUAGACUAUGAAAAGAUACAUGCUUGUCCAAUUUGGUACAUUUGGAACUAGAAGUUAUUCAAGUAAUAGUGAUAGUCAAAUGAGGUUUGGAGAUGUCUUGUACUAUGGCAAACUGAUGGACAUUAUAGAGAUCAAUUAUAAUUGCUUAUUCACAGUUACUUUGUUCAAGUGUCAAUGGGCUAAUACCAUUAAUCCUAAAGGCAUCAAAAAAGACAAUCUGGGAUUUACUUCAAUUAAUUUCACAAGACUAAUACAUACAGAUGAACAUGAAGAUGAUGAGCCAUACAUCAAAGCAUCUGAAGCUCAAAUGGUUUAUUUUGUGGAUGAUGAGAAAGAAAAAGGUUGGAGCAUACCUAUUCAUUUGAAACCAAGAGAUUUGUACGACAUGGGUGAAGAUGAAGAAGACAUUAUGCCAUCCAUUGAGUCAUUUCCAUCCCAAAACUUGGAACAAAUAUUGUCUGGUGAUGCUAUGCAUAUUCAGUUAACAAGACCUAAUGUAGAUGAUGACAAUCACACUUUGACCGUUAAUGAACAUGACAAUGAUUAAAGUGGUGUACUGAAUGACAUGAGCAAUGCAGGCUAGAUUGGAUAAUUUGUAUUUUGAAACCUAAUUUGUAUUUUGAAACCAAAUGUAAUAGGAUUAUGCAAUUUUGUCUCACAUUUGAUAAAUUGUUGAUUGAUGCAAUUUUUGUUUUUCUUAAUUUAUUCAUGGUUAAUUCAUGCCUAAUAUUGCUCUCCCUUUGUAAGUUAUCAACAAUGUUUUAUGAAUUCAUUAUGUGCUUCAAUUGAUUAGUUGUUUUGAGUAUUUGUACUUAUUGUCAUUGAGUAUUUGGAUUUAUAGGGAUGCCUCGGAAACCAUGAUUCAUUAUGAGGCCUCAAUCUACACCAGGCAAUAUCCUUAAUUGUUUCUCCAGGGACUAAUACUGAAAGUGGAGCAGCACAUAGUUCUCUUAUUUUGACACUAAGUCCAUCUAAUUUAGGCAACGAAUUACAACAUUCAGCAAAUAGAUGCACACGUAUGUAAUUUUAACUGCUUUGUUUUCUCUUAUUUUGUUUUUCAGAUUAACCAGGUUCAAUUUCAGCACAACGUUGAGAAAAAGAGCGCUUUCGCACUAGGACUUCUUGCCAUCAAGAUUCAUUUAUUGAGGAGUCAUUAGUGGACUUAAUGGAUGAGGAGAGUUUCAGGCUCUCAUGUUUGGAAUCCUCCAUUGGUAUCAGAAAUUCUUCACCAAAUAUUAACAUAUCAUCCACACAACAAGGUCAAAAUGAAAGAUUAGCAUCUCCUCUUGAUGACUUUUUUCAUGGAUGAUAUUUAAAUUCUAGAAAUUUUGAAAACUUCAGAAUGACAUUUUAUUGGAAAUUUUUUUUGUGAUCUUUAAUUUCUGUUUAGGUUACAGUAUUUUGGGAUCUUUAUUUUCUGUUUAGAUUAUAGC